CCCCUUCGAAGAAGAGGGGGUAUAUUGCUUUGCUCAUGUCGGUCUGUCUGUCGGUCCGUCCACCAGGUGGUUGUCAGACGAUAACUCAAGAACGCUUUGGCCUAGGAUCAUGAAACUUCAUAGGUACAUUGAUCAUGACUCGCAGAUGACCCCUAUUGAUUUUGAGGUCACUAGGUCAAAGGUCAAGGUCACAGUUACUGGAAAUAGGCAUUUUAAGGAUUUAGCAUGGCUCAAACAAGGGAAACAACUACCGUUUAUGCAUGUUCUUUUUGUUACAGCAUUUGCCUCCCUUAAAUUCAUUUAAAAUCUCAUUUUACAGCAGAGAUUCCAAAUCUGACCUGUAAAUGAGCCCCAUAUUUACUGCCAGUGCUAGGUUACCUUUUCCCAUUUGAUCAUUCUUAAGUAUUGUUAUUGUAA